rnacentral:rRNA from 1 species
CUACGGGUUGCUCCAGCUGAGGAUCUUUUACAAUGCACGAAAGUGUGAUAAAGCGAGCCAGAGUGUUGUUCUUAGAACAACUUUUGUCUGCUGUAAAAAGGCAGAUGAAUAAGGACUGGGUAAGACCGGUGCCAGCCGCCGCGGUAAUACCGGCGGUCCAAGUUGCAUCCAUUUUUAUUGGGUCUAAAACAUUCGUAGCUUGUUUUGUAAGUUUCUUGUGAAAUCUUAUGUCUCAAACAUGAGGCUUGCAAGAAAUACUGCAUAACUAGAGACCGGAAGGCGUAAGGAGUAUGAUUGAGGUAGCGGUAAAAUGUGUUAAUCUUAAUCAGACUAACAAUGGCGAAGGCACCUUACGAGUACGGAUCUGACAGUGAGGGAUGAAGGCUAGGGGCGCAAAACGGAUUAGAUACCCCGGUAGUC